rnacentral:rRNA from 1 species
CACUUGGAGGAUGUAUAGCAAUAGCUACUUGCAUCAUCAUUUUCUCAUUUUCUUCUUCUUUUUCUCAUUAUCAGAGAAAAAUCAGAAGAAAAGUAGAGAAAAGUAAAGAUGAUGCAAGAUCGACUAUGUCGAAUAAAAUUCUAGGUAGAAUUAUGAUAAUGACAUUGUCUGCCUAUGUGUCUUGACCAAAUUACGUGCCAGCAGUCGCGGUAAUACGUAGAAGACUAGUGUUAUUCAUGUUUAAUCGGUUUAAAGGGUACCUAGACGGUAAAUCAAGCUUUCAAAGAAAAAAAUAAAGAGAAUUAAAGGACUAAUUUACUAGAGUUACUUAUGAGGGGGUAUUAAAGUACUGCUGGUGUAGAGAUGAAAUUCUGUCAUACCUCUUUUCAAAAGAAAAAUGAUGGCACAGGUAUAGGCGAAGGCAUCCCCUUAUGUGAUAACUGACGUUGAGGGACGAAGGCUUUGUGUAGCGAACAGGAUUAGAUACCCCAGUAGUCGAAGCAGAAAAUGAUGAAUGUCAUAGAUUAGAUAUAUAAGUUUAUUCUAUAAAUGAAAGUGUAAGCAUUCCACCUCAUGAGUAAUUUGGCAACAUUGGAACUGAAAUCAUUAGACCGUUUCUGAAACCAGUAGUGAAGUAUGUUGUUUAAUUUGAUGAUCCGCAAAAAACCUUACCACAAUUUGAAUAUUUAUAUUUUUUAUUGUUUUCUUAUUAAUUUCUUUUACUUUUCUUCUGAAGAAGAAAAUGAGAAAAUUAAUAAAGAGGCAAUAAGAUAUAUUUACAAGCGUUGCACGGCUGUCUUCAGUUAAUGUCGCGAGACUUUGGUUAGUUCCAUUAAAUUAACGUAAACCCUUACUUUAUUUUUAUAUAGAGUAGUUCCCCGCUAUAUUGGAUAUGAUAACAGGGACUAAGACAAGUCAUCAUGGCCUAAAUA